UGUCAUAUCGUAAGGUUGCACAUCUGUCAACAACAUAACAUCGAAAUAUUAGCGAUUGUGUAUCAGCGUCGUAUAUUUUUUUCGUGCGAAAAUGUCGAAUUUUGAGCUGAAUAAACAUCAUUUGCGGAAGUUCUGAUUUACUUCUUUAAUUUGAAGAAAUCUGGAGCUGAGACGCAUCGAUUGCUUGUAGAAGCAUAUGACAAAGAACGUAGUGGAAGGCCGAAAGUGUAUGAAGACGCGGAAUUGGAAGCAUUAUUGAAUGAAAACCAAUGAUGAAAACGAAUGAAAUCAUUACUGGGCCUCUCUACCAAGCUCAAUUGCUGAGACUGAGACGAGCAUUCAAGGAAAAACGCGCCCAUUAUUACUCCAGAUAGGACAAAAUCAUUCUUUUGCAUGAUAAUGCUCGUCCUCAUAUUGCGGCGCCGGCCAAAACCUCCUUGAAAACACUUAAUUGCACUUCACAUCAUAUGAAGAUAUAAAAAAUUGGGUCGAUUCAUGGUUAGCGUCAAAAGAUGAAGCGUUCUUCCGACGCGGUAUUCGGAUGCUGCCAGAAAGAUGGGAAAAAGUAGUGGCCAGUAAUGGACAUUACUUUGAAUAAAACAUAAGAUACCGUUCUUUCGCAAUAAAUGCUUAAUUUAAGAUGAAAAACAGCGGAAACCUACUUGUACUUCUAAUAUACAUAUACAUCCUAA